rnacentral:misc_RNA from 1 species
GAAAUGCGAUAAGUAAUGUGAAUUGCAGAAUUCAGUGAAUCAUCGAAUCUUUGAACGCACCUUGCGCUCCUUGGUAUUCCUUGGAGCAUGCCUGUUUGAGUAUCAUGAAAUCUUCAAAGUAAAUCUUUUGUUAACUCAAUUGGUUUCUACUUUGGUAUUGGAGGUCUUUGCAGCUUCACACCUGCUCCUCUUUGUUCAUUAGCUGGAUCUCAGUGUUAUGCUUGGUUCCACUCGGCGUGAUAAGUUAUCUAUCGCUGAGGACACUGUAAAAGGUGGCCAAGGUAAAUGCAGAUGAACCGCUUCUAAUAGUCCAUUGACUUGGACAAUGCUUUUAUGAUCUGAUCUCAAAUCAGGUAGGACUACCCGCUGAACUUAAGC